UUUAAGGCUGAUACUUAAUCUGGUCCAUAAAAUAAUCAUGCUUUCUGGAUAAUCGGAAAAGCAUUGUGACACAAGCAGAAAACAAAUGCUUUUUAUAUUUUAGAUUCCCUUCCAAUUUAACUGGUAACACUCUAAUGGCAAAGUGGAAAGCACUUGAUUUACUCAUAACAUGAUGAUCACAAAAAGUAUUAUUGCUAUUAAAAUAACAGACAAUGUGAAUUAGAAUGAACCACCAAGACAGUCUGGAAAAAUAUACCCCACAUAUCAGAAAUGUUCAUAGACAGCCUCUCUCUUACAUACACAUACAUUGCAUCCUCAUAUUUCAGAUGAUGCAGUACAUUCAUAGGAUUUUCAAAAUAA